GAGACAGAAAGAGGCUCAAACCUGGAUCCGGAGCCUCUGCUGCCUGAGAAGAGAGGAGGGGAAAAAAAAAACACUCCCACCCUCACACACAUACAUACACUCUGCCGCUGUAAUGUUAUUAGAGCUACAGAGCGGAUCACUCUGGUCUCUUCUGCUCUCUCUCUUUUCUCUUCAGAAAUUAAAGCAGAGCUGCAUCUGAGAGUGGAAAAGGUCCCCCUUCUGCUGAGUCUGAAGAAUCACUGUCUGAGGAUCAUCUAGAGGAACUGCCCCCUUCAUAAACUUUAUAACAUUCUUGGAUGCUGUGGAACCUGGCUGCU
rnacentral:lncRNA from 1 species